AGUGGCGGACGGGUGAGUAACGCGUGAGAAUCUGCCUUGGGGUCGGGGACAACCACUGGAAACGGUGGCCAAUACCGGAUAAGCCGAUUGGUGAAAGAUUUAUUGCCCGAAGAGGAGCUCGCGUCUGAUUAGCUAGUUGGUGAGGUAAGAGCUCACCAAGGCAGCGAUCAGUAGCUGGUCUGAGAGGACGAUCAGCCACACUGGGACUGAGACACGGCCCAGACUCCUACGGGAGGCAGCAGUGGGGAAUUUUCCGCAAUGGGCGAAAGCCUGACGGAGCAAGACCGCGUGAGGGAGGAAGGCUCUUGGGUUGUAAACCUCUUUUCUCAGGGAAGAAGCUCUGACGGUACCUGAGGAAUCAGCCUCGGCUAACUCCGUGCCAGCAGCCGCGGUAAUACGGAGGAGGCAAGCGUUAUCCGGAAUUAUUGGGCGUAAAGCGUCCGCAGGUGGCGAUUCAAGUCUGCUGUCAAAGCACGGGGCUUAACUCCGUAAAGGCAGUGGAAACUGAAUAGCUAGAGUGCCGUAGGGGUAGAGGGAAUUCCCGGUGUAGCGGUGAAAUGCGUAGAGAUCGGGAAGAACAUCGGUGGCGAAAGCGCUCUACUGGACGGCAACUGACACUCAGGGACGAAAGCUAGGGGAGCGAAUGGGAUUAGAUACCCC
rnacentral:rRNA from 1 species